rnacentral:rRNA from 1 species
GACGAGGGGUCCAAGCGUUGUUCGGAAUCAUUGGGCGUAAAGCGGGUGUAGGCGGCUCUAUAAGCCAGGAGUGAAAGCCCCGAGCUUAACUUGGGAAGUGCUUUUGAUACUGCAGAGCUUGAAUGUGGGAGAGGUUAGUGGAAUUCCAAGUGUAGUGGUGAAAUACGUAGAUAUUUGGAGGAACACCGGUGGCGAAGGCGGCUAACUGGCCCAACAUUGACGCUGAGACCCGAAAGCAUGGGGGAUCAAACAGGAUUAGAAACCCCUA